GCCCCCGAUUGAUGAGCGAGCCUCACCUCGACGAUGGAGUCCAAGACCGACGUGUAACAGGUAUGACUCCUAUACCCCUCUUUCUAUUCCUCGUGUACAGAUCCACAUAGAGAUCGAAGGGGCGAAAUAUCUACGGCACCUUCCACUAAUGAAAAUGAGAAAAAUCGAGAUCGAAGGAAGUAUUACCGAUUUCACCAUGACCACGAUCACGACACCGAACAAUGCAUCUAGCUCAGGGAUGAAAUAGAGGUCCUGAUACGAUGAGGUUACCUCGAAAAAUAUCGAAGAGAUCCGCCAACUCAACAGAAGAAGAGUGAGGCUCCGGUCAAAUCAAGUAGGCCCCCGAUUGAUAAACGAGCCUCACUCCGAUGAUGGAGUCCAAGACCGACGUAUAAUAGGUAUGACUCCUAUAUCCCUCUUUCUACUCCUCGUGCAUAGAUCCUCAUGG
rnacentral:lncRNA from 1 species